GACGAACGCUGGCGGCAUGCUUAACACAUGCAAGUCGAACGGAAAGGCCCUGCUUUUGUGGGGUGCUCGAGUGGCGAACGGGUGAGUAACACGUGAGUAACCUGCCCUUGACUUUGGGAUAACUUCAGGAAACUGGGGCUAAUACCGGAUAGGAGCUCCUGCUGCAUGGUGGGGGUUGGAAAGUUUCGGCGGGUGGGGAUGGACUCGCGGCUUAUCAGCUUGUUGGUGGGGUAGUGGCUUACCAAGGCUUUGACGGGUAGCCGGUCUGAGAGGGUGACCGGACACAGUGGGUCUGAUACUGCGCACACACCUCCGAGGGGGGGCAGUGGGGGGUAUUUUACAACAGGGGCAGGACGCAUGCUGCGGCACCGCGGGGGGGGGGAUGGCGUCCUUGGGGUAGAAACCCUUUUCGCCUGAUGACGAGGCUUGGUGACGGUAAUUGGUUAAGAAGCACCGGCUAACUACGUG
rnacentral:rRNA from 1 species